rnacentral:rRNA from 1 species
GAACGCUGGCGGCAUGCCUUACACAUGCAAGUCGAACGGCAGCAUGGAAGAGCUUGCUCUUCUGAUGGCGAGUGGCGAACGGGUGAGUAAAGCAUCGGAACGUACCGUGUAAUGGGGGAUAACGUAGCGAAAGUUACGCUAAUACCGCAUACGUCCUGAGGGAGAAAGCGGGGGACCGUAAGGCCUCGCGCGAUUGGAGCGGCCGAUGUCGGAUUAGCUAGUUGGUGGGGUAAAGGCCUACCAAGGCGACGAUCCGUAGCGGGUCUGAGAGGAUGAUCCGCCACACUGGGACUGAGACACGGCCCAGACUCCUACGGGAGGCAGCAGUGGGGAAUUUUGGACAAUGGGCGAAAGCCUGAUCCAGCCAUGCCGCGUGAGUGAAGAAGGCCUUCGGGUUGUAAAGCUCUUUCAGCCGGAAAGAAAUCGCGCAGGAUAAUACUCUGCGUGGAUGACGGUACCGGAAGAAGAAGCACCGGCUAACUACGUG